CAGAUUCAAAGAAAAAAAAAAAAAGAAAAAAAGAGAGACCGAAACUUUGAGCCCCGAUCUACGUCGAUCAGGGCUGUUUCCGGUAAAAAGGACACCGAAUCUGGAAAGAUCGCGUCGAAGAGAACUUCCAGAAGAAUUUUCACCUUUCCCGGUCAUCGGAAACCACCGUCCAAGACUGCCGGCGGCGAGCCAGACGGCGGCCAGCACGGUGCUCCGGCAACCGACCGACGACCUCUCCCCCAGAGCUCUCUCUCUCCCUCUCUCCCUUUUUUUCUGAAACAGAAGCCAAAUGAACCAAAAAAAAAAAUCUUCAGCUAUAUAUAGUAAAGCAAAAUCUCAAAACGACGUCGUUUAGAUAAAGACCCAAAACGACGCCGUUUCAGC
rnacentral:lncRNA from 1 species